rnacentral:tRNA from 2 species
UGAGGGUUCAAGUCCCUCUAUCCCCAAAAAAACCAUUUGACCUCCUAAG